AGAAGGGCAAAUAGUCUAACCAAGAAUCUGGCAGUUUUCUAUGUAAUCUGGAUUCAAUGUCCAGGAACUGGCUAGGGAUGCAAUUGUUUACUUAGGAAGAGUGAGGACAACAUUUUUAUAUCAACACAUGAGACCAUGACUGAUGCAGUUGCACUGGGCACAGAGCUUUCUGGGUUGCUGUAGCAGGUGGCGCAACUAUGAAGUCCAACAGAAGUCAUCAUGCAAAUUGGCUUGUAGCUGGAAAACACCCGAAAGAGGCUCUUUUGGUGACACUGGGAGGCUCUAGCCAUGAUCUGCACCCGGGCUUUGAAGACGACUGGGGCUGACCACAUAACACCCCGGCGAGAUUGUGAGCCCUUCCCUGUUUUGCAAAGAUGCUCCCGUCUCACUGCAGAAAUUGCAAGACUGCAAGGCAGAGCUGCUUUUGAGCAGUGUGUGGGGUGAGCUGCUGCAGUGCGGCUGAAAUAAUGUCACGGGCAGAGGUUCAGCCUGGGAAUCCUCGUGCACAGACUUCCGCUGUAGACUCGGGACAUCCUCCAGGGUGAAGAGCUCCAAGCUGCCUCCCAUCUCCCUGGCAUCCCCAUCCAUCUUCAUUGAGCUCAGCUCAGAGAGGCCAUCACUGCACCACCACAGCAGUCCUCUUGCAACACUUCCUGCAGAUUGUCGGGAUGAAAGCAGCAGGUGUAAGAGACAGGGCUGCUGCCCCGCAGGACGCCCUCUUCGCCUCCCUCUUCCUCCAAAUCCCUUUUCGCCAGCCGCGGCAGCUCGGAGGUGCUCAACAGCAACGGGAACCGUAUACUCAGCCCUCUCUGGACAGGCUUCUGGCGGCACUGAGUGACGUUCCUGUGCAGUAGGGUGGGGGGCACAAAGGGGUUGGCGGCAGCAGGCCAGCCCUCGAGCUCCCCUUGCGGGGCCUUGUUCUCCUUGGCCCCCUUCCCCUUUUUCUUGGCCGUGCCCUUCCUGCUGGGGGGCUUUUUGCGCAGCCGGGCCUUCCUGGUGGGGGGCAGGAAAUCGGAGUCCUCGGAGGAGGAAGGGGGGCAGCGGGGGCCUUUUCCUGCCUCUGGGCCUUUUGGACCCCCUUGGGGGGCAGGUAACUCGGGUCUCCGAAGGAGGAAGAGGUGGCCGCCUCCUCAAAGGACAGGGAGGAGGAGCGCUGCUGCUGAAGAGGUGCUUGCGGUCCACCGGGGGCGAGAUCCAGGGGGCGGAACCAGGCCCUGCCCGAGCGCCCCUCACCCCACAUGGGAAGAGUUUAAAAUGUGGUUUCCUGGUUUAUACUUAACAAGAAACUGUGGUUUAACAAAACCUUGUAAUGCAUUGAGGACACAACACUUAAACCAUGGGUUUCCAGACUGAAAAUGUUACAUGUGAACUAAGCUGAUAAUAAAGGCAACCCUAGAAAAACCUUUCCUAUUGAAUCCAAUGGAGAUUACAUCUGAGUGGAUGUGCACAGGAUAGCACUAUAAGCACAGCAAAAAUGAGCUCUGAAAUAAAGUGUAAUACAAAUUCAUGAAAUUACAAGCAUUUAAACAGCAGUAGCAGCAGCAUUAGAAUUCAAGUUCCUGAGUUUCAAACACUGCUUCUGAAGUUAAAAGACAAGGGACUAUUUGAUAAUGCAGCUCUUAUUGUUAAAUUAUUUGAAUGUAAUUUAGAGUUUGUGAAUUUUCAAAUUAUUUGUGCAUAUUCAUGUAGCCUGCAGACUAAUUCAAGAAAAUAUUAGAAAUAAUUAAUCUUCUCAAAUAAUGUUAAGGCAAAUUAAUUCUUUCCUAUUUUUGAUUUUUCAUUGGAUCCUGUACAUCAGUUUUAUGCUCCUUGGUGCUGAAUGUUUCUAAUUCUGUUGACUGCUUUUAUAAUGCUCUUUUUAUAUUUAAUGUUCUUGAGUUAUCUUUUGCUUUGUUUUCUUUUGUAAUUUUAACUUUUUG